rnacentral:rRNA from 1 species
CUGCUGCCUCCCGUAGGAGUCUGGGCCGUGUCUCAGUCCCAAUGUGGCCGGUCACUCUCUCAAGCCGGCUACUGAUCGUUGCUUUGGUAGGCCAUUACCCUGCCAACUGGCUAAUCAGACGCGGGGCCAUCGUAUGCCGAUAAAUCUUUUCACACCAUGCCAUGCAGCAUUGUGUGCUUAUGCGGUAUUAGCAGUCAUUUCUGACUGUUGUCCCCCUGCAUACGGCACGG